rnacentral:rRNA from 1 species
GGAGCUGAAGGCAGUCGAAGAUACCAGCUGGCUGCAACUGUUUAUUAAAAACACAGCACUGUGCAAACACGAAAGUGGACGUAUACGGUGUGACGCCUGCCCGGUGCCGGAAGGUUAAUUGAUGGGGUUAUCCGCAAGGAGAAGCUCUUGAUCGAAGCCCCGGUAAACGGCGGCCGUAACUAUAACGGUCCUAAGGUAGCGAAAUUCCUUGUCGGGUAAGUUCCGACCUGCACGAAUGGCGUAAUGAUGGCCAGGCUGUCUCCACCCGAGACUCAGUGAAAUUGAACUCGCUGUGAAGAUGCAGUGUACCCGCGGCAAGACGGAAAGACCCCGUGAACCUUUACUACAGCUUGACACUGAACAUUGAGCCUUGAUGUGUAGGAUAGGUGGGAGGCUUUGAAGCGUGGACGCCAGUCUGCGUGGAGCCAACCUUGAAAUACCACCCUUUAACGUUUGAUGUUCUAACCUGGCGCCGUAAUCCGGCGUGGGGACAGUGUCUGGUGGGUAGUUUGACUGGGGCGGUCUCCUCCUAAAGAGUAACGGAGGAGCACGAAGGUUAGCUAAUCACGGUCGGACAUCGUGAGGUUAGUGCAAUGGCAUAAGCUAGCUUGACUGCGAGAGUGACGGCUCGAGCAGGUGCGAAAGCAGGUCAUAGUGAUCCGGUGGUUCUGAAUGGAAGGGCCAUCGCUCAACGGAUAAAAGGUACUCCGGGGAUAACAGGCUGAUACCGCCCAAGAGUUCAUAUCGACGGCGGUGUUUGGCACCUCGAUGUCGGCUCAUCACAUCCUGGGGCUGAAGUAGGUCCCAAGGGUACGGCUGUUCGCCGUUUAAAGUGGUACGCGAGCUGGGUUUAGAACGUCGUGAGACAGUUCGGUCCCUAUCUGCCGUGGGCGCUGGAGAAUUGAGAGGGGUUGCUCCUAGUACGAGAGGACCGGAGUGAACGCACCGCUGGUGUUCGGGUUGUCAUGCCAAUGGCAUUGCCCGGUAGCUAAGUGCGGAAAAGAUAAGCGCUGAAAGCAUCUAAGCGCGAAACUUGCCUCGAGAUGAAUUCUCCCUGGGGCCCUGAGCCCCCUGAAGGGACGUUGAAGACUACGACGUUGAUAGGCCGGGUGUGUAAGCGCAGCGAUGCGUUGAGCUAACCGGUACUAAUGACCCGUGAGGCUUAACCUU